GACGAACGCUGGCGGCGUGCUUAACACAUGCAAGUCGAACGGAAAGGCCCUGCUUUUGUGGGGUGCUCGAGUGGCGAACGGGUGAGUAACACGUGAGUAACCUGCCCUUGACUUUGGGAUAACUUCAGGAAACUGGGGCUAAUACCGGAUAGGAGCUCCUGCUGCAUGGUGGGGGUUGGAAAGUUUCGGCGGUUGGGGAUGGACUCGCGGCUUAUCAGCUUGUUGGUGGGGUAGUGGCUUACCAAGGCUUUGACGGGUAGCCGGCCUGAGAGGGUGACCGGCCACAUUGGGACUGAGAUACGGCCCAGACUCCUACGGGAGGAAGCAGUGGGGAAUAUUGCACAAUGGGCGGAAGACUGAUGCAGCAACGCCGCGUGCGGGAUGACGGCCUUCGGGUUGUAAACCGCUUUCGCCUGUGACGAAGCGUGAGUGACGGUAAUGGGUAAAGAAGCACCGGCUAACUACGUG
rnacentral:rRNA from 1 species